rnacentral:RNase_P_RNA from 2 species
CGAGUCGACCGGGCGGUCGCGUCAGGGCUGCGGCCCUGCCGAGGAACGUCCGGGCUCCACAGGGCAGGGUGGUUGCUAACGGCAACCCGGGGCGACCCGCGGGAAAGUGCCACAGAAAGCAGACCGCCGCGCGUUUCCGGCUCCGGCCGGAGGUGAUGCGGUAAGGGUGAAACGGUGGAGUAAGAGCCCACCAGCAUCCCGGGUGACCGGGAUGGCUCGGAAACCCCCCCCCGGAGCAAGGCCAAGAGGGCCACCGCCGCGAGGUGGUGGCCUGCGCAGGCGAUCGAGGGCGGCCCGCCCGAUGCCUGCGGGUAGGCCGCUGGAGCCUACCGGCGACGGUAGGCCGAGAUGGAUGGCCGCCGCCUCACGCACGCGUGAGGUACAGGACCCGGCGUACAGGUCGACUCGUCCG